rnacentral:rRNA from 1 species
GACGAACGCUGGCGGCGUGCUUAACACAUGCAAGUCGAACGGAAAGGCCCUGCUUUUGUGGGGUGCUCGAGUGGCGAACGGGUGAGUAACACGUGAGUAACCUGCCCUUGACUUUGGGAUAACUUCAGGAAACUGGGGCUAAUACCGGAUAGGAGCUCCUGCUGCAUGGUGGGGGUUGGAAAGUUUCGGCGGGUGGGGAUGGACUCGCGGCUUAUCAGCUUGUUGGUGGGGUAGUGGCUUACCAAGGCUUUGACGGGUAGCCGGCCUGAGAGGGUGACCGGCCACAUUGGGACUGAGAUACGGCCCAGACUCCUACGGGAGGCAGCAGUGGGAAAUAUUGCACAAUGGGCGGAAGCCUGAUGCAGCAACGCCGCGUGCGGGAUGACGGCCUUCGGGUUGUAAACCGCUUACGCCUGUGACGAAGCGUGAGUGACGGUAAUGGGUAAAGAAGCACCGGCUAACUACGUG